GUAGGUGGCAAGCGCUGUCCGGAAUUAUUGGGCGUAAAGCGCGCGCAGGUGGUUCUUUAAGUCUGAUGUGAAAGCCCCCGGCUCAACCGGGGAGGGUCAUUGGAAACUGGGGAACUUGAGUGCAGGAGAGGAAAGUGGAAUUCCACGUGUAGCGGUGAAAUGCGUAGAUAUGUGGAGGAACAUCAGUGGCGAAGGCGACUUUCUGGCCUGUAACUGACACUGAGGCGCGAAAGCGUGGGGAGCAAACAGGGAUUAGAUACCCUGGUAGUCCACGCCGUAAACGAUGAGUGCUAAGUGUUGGGGGGGUUUUCCGCCCCCUCAGUGCUGCAGCUAACGCAUUAAGCACUCCGCCUGGGAGUACGGUCGCAAGACUG
rnacentral:rRNA from 1 species